AACGAACGCUGGCGGCAGGCUUAACACAUGCAAGUCGAACGGGUGCAGCAAUGCAUCAGUGGCAGACGGGUGAGUAACACGUGGGAACCUUCCUAGGGGUACGGAACAACUCAGGGAAACUUGAGCUAAUACCGUAUACGUCCGUGAGGAGAAAGAUUUAUCGCCCUUAGACGGGCCCGCGUCGGAUUAGCUAGUUGGUGGGGUAACGGCCUACCAAGGCGACGAUCCGUAGCUGAUCUUCGAGGAUGAUCAGCCACACUGGGACUGAGACACGGCCCUGAAACCUACGGGAGGCAGCAGUGGUGAAACUUGGACAAUGGGCGCAAGCCUGAUCCAGCCAUGCCGCGUGAGUGAAGAAGGUCUUCGGAUUGUAAAGCUCUUUUGCCAGGGACGAUAAGGACGGUACCUGGAGAAUAAGCCCCGGCAAACUUCGUGCCAGCCGCCGCAGAAAGAC
rnacentral:rRNA from 1 species